AAUUUUUGUAAAACAAGGAUAUAUGUAUAUAUUUACUUUUUACAAACGAAUGUUAUUUAAAAUGAUUAAUUAUUUUAAACGAGUAAAGUUGAUUUGUAUGUCCGGACGCAUACCAAUUUUUAAUUUUUUUACUGACGCAUGCAAAAUCAAAACCAGUAAUAGUGAAGUUAAUAGUUAUGGACACAAUUUUUGUAAAACAAGAAUAUUUUAUUGGUAUGGGCGCCUAUUUACUUUUCUUUCACAGACGCAUUUAAAUUAAAUUUAUUUGUUAUGAACACAAGUUUUGUACAUUGGUAUGGACUCGAGUGGUCGUGAACAGUUGCUUGGCAUGGAUGCAUUUUUAAAGUAUUGUAAAGUAUUGCCGAUUGAUUUGGAUGCGAAAUUAUUUACCAAGGACUAAAGAUAAAAGGGUAUAUUCAUUGGCUUCUGUUGCUGCUGCUGCUGCUGCUGCUGCUAUUUAUGGUAAGCGAGUACUGUUGAUGAGUAUGAACGCAUGGUUAUUGUAAACGAGUAUAUUUCAACAAUAUUCGCGAAUAAGACGCGCGCGCGUUUUUUGUUACUGAGUAUAGCUGAAGUACUUGAAUUCCCGAGUUGUUAUGAUCGUGAUAUCUAAAACUGCGACUUAUUUCGAUAAGACGAGUGUUUGUUAGUGUAUGUGAUUGAUUUGAGAGACACAAAAAUUAAAAUAUCUUUAAAAAAGGACGCUUUUGGAACACGUAUAAAAUCAAAACCAGGAAUGAAGACAGUCUUCGUUGUGUGUAUUUUGCUGAUUUCAUUGAUGUUAAUGAGUGAGCUGCCAUGUACAACAGCGCUUCGUAAAGGACCACUUUGUCGACGACGUGGGCCAGUGUGUGUUGAUACAGGAGCUCGAAGUAGGGGUCAACCAGGCAGGUGUGAAGCCCAGGGAAAACAAUGUCAGAGAGUACAUAACAGAUGUAGGUGUAGACGCAGAAACAGCUUUUUGCGCCCUGGAAUAGGUCAAAACUAAUAAAGACAUUUUGCCAAAAAAGAGACAAGAUGCUGCUUCAAAAUAAUAUAAAAAAAAACUUGUUUAUAUCUUAAUUUGAUUAGCUUUAUUCCAAUUCUUAUCAUAAUCCGAUUUCAAAAGAGGACCUUUGUGACAUAAGAAGACUGAAAAAGGAAACAAUUGCUUGAUGUUAUAUAAAGCAGUCUACAUUUUCACCUUUAAUUAACAAUAUUUGUGUUUCAUACGCAUGUUUAUCAUUUACAGAUAAAAUGCUGGUUGUCUAUACCAUGUAUCCAUGCAAGAGUGUUAUUUAAUAAAUAACAAGAAGUAUCUUUAAAACAUGUUUCUCGGCCGAAGUAAAACUGGUUAACUUGCAUGUGUUCUUUCUAAGUUUUCGAUACAUAUAGAAAUAUUAGCAAUGUUUGCAUAACAAUGACGGUAUUAUUUCUUGUAGCUAAGAAAAAAAUGUUAACAUAGAAAUUAAAUUAUAAGCAUAUUGAUA